CAAGCCGAGUCUGUGAACUACACUACAGCUCACAGCAAUGCCAGAUCCUUAACCCACAGAGUGAAGCCAGGAAUUGAACCCACAUCCUCAGGGAUACUAGUCAGGUUCAUUAUCUGACUAGCCACGAAGGGAACUCCACAUGUGGCCUCUCUGAAGCUGUUUUGUGUUGUAUCAACAAGAUGAAGCAUUCAGUGCCAAGAGCAGACUGAAUGGUGGACAGUCAGGCAGUUUGGAAGGACAGAUCCAGUUACUCCCAGAAGAGUCCUUAUCUAGGGUCAACCUUGGAGCCACCACGAUUGAUUUAUUCAGGAAAGCAGCCUUUUCUCACCCCUACCGCCCAGUCCCAUGGCUGAGGAAUUUGAGAAAGGUCUCCCCUAAUCCUUGGGCGCCAUCUGUUUGCACUGGAUGACAAAACAUCCCUGGCAGAGGGCUCUGUACCUUUCAUUGCAUCAAGGCUCUUUCAUCAGCAUUCUGGAAAAGGCUUAGUUUCUGAAGCUGCAAAGAGGGCGAAGUUGACAUAUUUUCAUUUUUGGCCCAGAAAUAUUCUGUGUAAUCCUUGUGCCAGGGAUUUGGGGACAAGGCAGAGACUGACAUAUCCCCAAGGGUGUCUGGAACCAGCAACUUACCAACAGGGAUUGGUCCUUGGUGUCAGGAUGGACUUGGGUGGAAGUGUAUUCCCUAAAAGCACGGGGUGCUGGAGAAUUCAUAACAGCUCCUCGGACACUGUCAGGCCCUGAGCUCAGUUGCAUGGUCUUACGGAUCCCUCAACAGGCCUGGCUUUUGGCCCCAUUUCACAGAUGGUGAAGUUGAGCUCACAGAAGUCAUGUCACUAUAAUUCUCCCUAGGUCACAUGAAUAGUAAGUACAGCUAGAGUUUGAAUCCAGAUCCUCUUUAUUUUAUUCACUCAUUUGUAUAUUUUGAUGCUUUUUAGUAAAUUUUAAUUGUACACAUUUUUAAAAAUUACAGUUGUUUUACAAUGUUGUGCUAAUUUCUGCUGUAUAGCAAAGUGACCCAGUCACAUAUUUUGUAUAGUCCCUUUUUUAUAAUAUAUAUAUAAGAAUAUAUAUAUAUUUUUUUCUUUUGUUGUUGUUGUUGUUGCUUUUUAGGUCCACACCUGUGACACAUGGAAGUUCCCAGGAUAGGGGUCGAAUCGGAGCUGUAGCCACUGGCCUACGCCAGAGCCACAGCAACGCGGGAUCCGAGCUGCGUCUGCAACCUACACCACAGCUCAGGACAAUGCCGGAUCGUGAGCAGGGGCAGGGACCGAACCCGCAACCUCAUGGUUCCUAGUCAGAUUCGUUAACCACUGCGCCACGACGGGAACUCCAUGAUCACAUUUUGAAUAUUGAGAAUCUGGGAAAUAUGGUGUCUUUUCUUGCCAUACUCUGGUUAUGCUCUGCUUGUAUUUCCUUGUUUCACCUUCUAAAGUCUUGCAUGACCCAUUCAGCUCAAC
rnacentral:lncRNA from 1 species